rnacentral:rRNA from 1 species
AUGCCUAACACAUGCAAGUCGAACGGUAACAGGUCUUCGGAUGCUGACGAGUGGCGCACGGGUGAGUAACGCGUGGAUAUCUGCCUAUGAGUGGGGGACAACUUUCGGAAACGAAAGCUAAUACCGCAUAAUCUCUACGGAGCAAAGCAGGGGACCUUUCGGGGCCUUGUGCUUAUAGAUGAGUCCGCGUCAGAUUAGCUAGUUGGUGGGGUAAGAGCCUACCAAGGCGAUGAUCUGUAGCUGGUUUGAGAGGAUGAUCAGUCACACUGGAACUGAGACACGGUCCAGACUCCUACGGGAGGCAGCAGUGGGGAAUUUUGCACAAUGGGCGCAAGCCUGAUGCAGCGAUGCCGCGUGUGGGAAGAAGGCCUUUGGGUUGUAAACCACUUUCAAUUGGGAAGAAGGGAUGAGUAUUAAUAAUACUCUGACUUGACGGUACCUUUAGAAGAAGCACCGGCUAAUUUCGUGCCAGCAGCCGCGGUAAUACGAAAGGUGCAAGCGUUGUUCGGAUUUACUGGGCGUAAAGAGAUCGUAGGUGGUUUGUUAAGUUAGAUGUGAAAUCCCGGGGGCUCAACCUCGGAACUGCAUCUAAAACUGGCAGACUUGAGUUCGGGAGGGGUAAGCGGAAUUCCGUGUGUAGCAGUGAAAUGCGUAGAUAUACGGAGGAACACCUGAGGCGAAGGCGGCUUACUGGACCGAUACUGACACUGAGGAUCGAAAGCGUGGGUAGCAAACAGGAUUAGAUACCCUGGUAGUCCACGCCCUAAACGAUGUCAACUAGCCGUUGCGGGUAUCGACCCCUGCAGUGGCGCAGCUAACGCGAUAAGUUGACCGCCUGGGGAGUAC